GGCCCCGUAGCUCAGCCUGGUAGAGCACUAGACUUUUAAUCUAGUCGUCGCGAGUUCAAAUCUCGUCGGGGUCA
rnacentral:tRNA from 1 species